rnacentral:rRNA from 1 species
GACGAACGCUGGCGGCGUGCUUAACACAUGCAAGUCGAACGGAAAGGCCCUGCUUUUUUGGGGUGCUCGAGUUGCGAACGGGUGAGUAACACGUGAGUAACCUGCCCUUGACUUUGGGAUAACUUCAGGAAACUGGGGCUAAUACCGGAUAGGAGCUCCUGCUGCAUGGUGGGGGUUGGAAAGUUUCGGCGGUUGGGGAUGGACUCGCGGCUUAUCAGCUUGUUGGUGGGGUAGUGGCUUACCAAGGCUUUGACGGGUAGCCGGCCUGAGAGGGUGACCGGCCACAUUGGGAUUGAGCUACGGCACAGACUCCUCCGGGAGGCAGCAGUGGGGAAUAUUGCACAAUGGGAGGAAGCCUGAUGCAGCAACGCCGCGUGCGGGAUGACGGCAUUCGGGUUGUAAACCGCUUUCGCCUGUGACGAAGCGUGAGUGACGGUAAUGGGUAAAGAAGCACCGGCUAACUACGUG